rnacentral:rRNA from 1 species
CGUGCAGGCGGUCUGCGGCGUUCGCAGUGACAGUUCCUGGCUCAACCGGGAAAGGUCUGUGAAAACGGGCAGACUUGAGGACCAGAGAGGGACAUAGAAUUCCGGGUGGAGUGGUGAAAUGCGUAGAUAUCCGGAGGAAUACCAAAGGCGAAGGCAGUGUCCUGGCUGGGUCCUGACGCUCAGGCGCGAAAGCCAGGGGAGCGAACA